GUGCUAUUAACAUUAGUAGUUUCUUAGCCUGUAUUUCAGGCAUAGUGUACUUUUGCUUUUUUUUGCAGGCUACUGCCAUAGUUACUACAAAAUCCCAGGAUUUCCAGUUUAAUUUGUAAAAUCAAAUUUUCCUAAGAGCCAUACACUUUUAUUUUACACAAGCAUGUCUCACUUAUAUUAGCCACAAUGAUGCAGGCCAAGAUCUACAAAAGUACCUGUGUCCAGGUACAGACACUUGCUACUGUUCUCAGUCUACGGUCUUCUGCUGCAUAACAUGGAUUACAUAACAGGAGGCUCAAAUGCAUGCUUGAAUUUUAGAGGAGUAAGUGGCAUAAAAAGAACAUGUGCUUAGGAAGCUGGCAAAAUAUGGCUUUCUGACAUUCAUAUUUGAUUUGUCAGCAUAUUUGAUGUGUAUCAGUGCUUAUGUCAUUUCGUCCUGAUAACACAUCCUGAUAACAUUCACUCAGAGAUAUGCUUCCGAGAAUUGACAUGAUACAGCUUGAGAAGGAAGGAGCAAAGCUCCAUUUUCAUAUUGGAUGGUUUUGCUUCACAGAAAGCAAGAUGUGAUCCUGUUUGACUGCUGGGAUUACAGAUGUACCUUCUAAAGGAGUUACUCUUACAAGACAACGAAAGAGCUCUUCAUCCCAAGCAAAGAGCUGACCUGAGAAGUCCGCAGGAGGAUUAUUUCCUAUUUCAGGGCAACCUACAUGUUCCAUGUAAAUUUUACCAGGAAGUUCACACAAGACAUUGGAUUGGUCAAGAAAUUCUUCUGCUAUGAUUAAGUAGUGAUUUUUGUACUCAAAACCCAAAAUUAAACACAUUGAAAAGCUUCUGGGUGCUAGUCUGCUUUGAUCUUACAAACAUUAUCAUCGUUCAAGGCAUUAGUGAGCCCUUAUAAAUUCACAGUACUGAAUUUCAUUCAUCCAGUUUCAAGAGAGAUGAAUUCAAACUGGAAUGGGUGCAGAGAAGUACUGAUAGAAAUGAUCGACUGAAUGGAAAGCUUAUGUUAUGUUUAAAAUAAAUAAAUAAAUAAAUUGGCUUGUUCA
rnacentral:lncRNA from 1 species